GCUCACAGGGCACGUGCCUGUAUUCCCAGAUCUCAGGAGGCAAAGGAAGAAGGAUUCUUUGAGUCCAGGAAUUCUGGGCUGUAGCAUGCUAUGCUGAUUGAGUGUCCUCACUAAGUUCAGCAUCAGUAUGGUGACCUCCCGGGAACAGGAGACCACCGGGUUGCCUAAAAAGGGGUGUACCAGCCCCGUUCGGGAAUGGAGCAGGUCGGAACUCCCAUGCUGAUCACUAGUGGGAUCGUGCCUGUGAAUAACCACUGCUCUCCAGCCUGGGUAACACAGUGAGUGAGAAUGUGUCCCUU
ensembl:misc_RNA Metazoa_SRP Metazoan signal recognition particle RNA